GACGUAGGGGGCAAGCGUUGUUCGGAAUUAUUGGGCGUAAAGCGCUCGUAGGCGGGACUGGAAGGCCGUGUUGAAAGACCUCGGCUCAACUGGGAGCUUGCAGGCGAAACUGCUUGACUGGAGUGUGGGAGAGGUGCAUGGAAUUCCCGGUGUAGCGGUGAAAUGCGUAGAUAUCGAGAGGAACACCUGAGGUGAAGACGGGUUGCUGGGCCGACACUGACGCUGAGGCGCGAAAGCCAGGGUAGCAAACGGG
rnacentral:rRNA from 1 species